rnacentral:tRNA from 1 species
GGUUGUAGCUCAAUGGUAGAGUGCUUGCCUAGCAUGUGUGGGGCAUUGGGUUCGAUUCUCAGCAUCA